AGGUCCUUGCGGGCUACCUGGUGCCCGCGGGCACCAUGUUGGUGACCCCUGUUAUAGUGUGAUCUAGUGUAAUCUAACUCAGAGUGCAGUCUGAAGCACUUCAAAUACAUGUAAAAACAACAUAUUAAACAAAAUGGGAAAAGACACAGUUUGAAUCAGCUUUAAAAGGUUAAAGGAGAUGUUCUGUUUUAUACAAAGCAGAUAGAAAAAAGCAAAAAAGGCAAAAAAAAAAUCAUACAGAGAGCAGUUACUCUCAGCCCAAACCAUCAGACAGCAGCACCCAUGUGCCUGAUUAGCCUGAGCGAGGAAGAGCAGUAGAAACAGUGUGCAGCCUCUUUUCUCUUAACAGUCUUUUAAUUAAAAAGCUGUUAUUGUGAACCGGCGGACUGGGUGCUUAUUUAUUAUUGAAGAGAUGGAACCAGCAUGCUUAUAUGUAAUCAAGCUCUGCAGUGAUUGGUUACCACAGGGCUUGGUGUGUAAGAGUGUAGGCACGUAUCCCCUGAAAGAUUCAGUAUGUAUACAGCAUAUACACCAAGCAAAAAUGGCUCUAUAUAAUAAAGAAAUGUAAGAAAAACAUUCUUUAACUUGCAACAGUGGACUGAGAUGCCAAAAGGAGCUAGCAUUGUGACCCUUGACUUUCUAGCCAUGGAUGCUAAAAAUGCUGCUCUGACCUGCAGGAACUGUGUGUUUAACCUUGCUCACAAGAUACCACCUCACAAUGUAUACAGUUGUGGCCAGUUUUAAACCGUUCUUUGAGGUAACACUAGGAACAUUGCUCUGAGGAUUUGAUUGUGUUCAGCCAUUAGAGCAUCAGGUACCAAUGUUGAAAGAUAAUUUUUAAUUUCUGAUACUGAAAGGAAUUCCAUCAUCACAGAAAAUAACACAGUUCUUCUAUUCCACAGCUUUUAAUGCUGGUGGAAAAAAACAGUGGCCCACCAUGAACAUCUAAUAACAUUAGCGGAGAGCUAACUAACAUUAGCAUCUAAUGUUAGCAUCGAGCUAGCUGCGUUACUGACAUAUUAACUUUAGCAGCCAGUUAGCUAACACACUAACUUUAGCAGGCGAGCUAGCUAAUGCUAUCGGGGAGAGAACUAAGGUUGGGGGAGAGCUAGCUAACACACUAACUUUAGCGGGCGAGCUAGCUAAUGCUAUCGGGGAGAGAACUAAGGUUGAGGGAGAGCUAGCUAACACACUAACUUUAGCGGGCGAGCUAGCUAAUGCUAUCGGGGAGAGAACUAAGGUUGGGGGAGAGCUAGCUAACAAACUAACUUUAGUGGCGAGCUAGCUAAUGCUAUCGGGGAGAGAACUAAGUUUAGCAGAGAGCUAGCUAACAAACUAACUUUAGUGGCGAGCUAAAGGUUAGGGGAGAGCUUGCUAACUUUAGUGGUGAGCAAGCUAACUGGAAGGUCUAAAUAAGUCUUGACUAAGCCUAUAAUAAAUUAAUUUUAGGUUGCAUUUUACAACUGUGGUUCUCAAACGUUUCAGUUGGAGACCCCGUUUGUGCAUGCUAAAUACCAUUGGGGCCUCCUUUUUUCCAUAUGUGCAGGAAUCUACGAAAGAGCUCAUACAACUAACAUAUGUUAUGUUGGCUCUGUUCUGCAUCACAAUGAAACAAGAUUUAUAUGAAAACAAAAAUGAUAACAAAUGGGAAACAUUACGUUUUGAUUUCCAGUACAAUAAAUUAUUUUCUCCCAAAGAAAUUAAUGACUACAUUCUGCUGUCUUUUAUUAUAUUUAUCGAGGUUUUUAAAAAGGUCUUAAAAAACAUUAAAUUUGACUUUUAAAAUGGUGCAAGAACCCUGUAUGAGAAUUUGAUUGCGUUCAGCUAUUGGAGCAUCAAUAAGUUCUGGUACUGAAGUUAAUUGAUUAGUUCUGGCAUUGGAUGGAGCUCCAUCAUUUCAGAGAACACAGUUCCACUGCUCCGCAACUCAACACUGAGGGGCUUUAUACCCCUCUAGCUCACACCUGGCAUUGGGCCUGAUGACCUUAGGCUUUUCUAUGAGUCUGUGUGUGUGUGUGUGUGUGUGUGUGUGUGUGU